rnacentral:rRNA from 1 species
GACGAACGCUGGCGGCGUGCUUAACACAUGCAAGUCGAACGGAAAGGCCCUGCUUUUGUGGGGUGCUCGAGUGGCGAACGGGUGAGUAACACGUGAGUAACCUGCCCUUGACUUUGGGAUAACUUCAGGAAACUGGGGCUAAUACCGGAUAGGAGCUCCUGCUGCAUGGUGGGGGUUGGAAAGUUUCGGCGGUUGGGGAUGGACUCGCGGCUUAUCAGCUUGUUGGUGGGGUAGUGGCUUACCAAGGCUUUGACGGGUAGCCGGCCUGAGAGGGUGACCGGCCACAUUGGGACUGAGAUACGGCCCAGACUCCUACGGGAGGCAGCAGUGGGGAAUAUUGCACAAUGGGCGGAAGCCUGAUGCAGCAACGCCGCGUGCGGGAUGACGGCCUUCGGGUUGUAACCCGCUUUCGCCUGUGGCGAAGCGUGAGUGACGGUAAUGGGUAAAGAAGCACCGGCUAACUACGUG